rnacentral:rRNA from 1 species
ACGGGUGAGUAACGCGUAGGUAACCUGCCUCUUAGCGGGGGAUAACUAUUGGAAACGAUAGCUAAUACCGCAUAGAAGUCGACAUUGCAUGAUGUUGACUUGUAAGGUGCAAAUGCAUCACUAAGAGAUGGACCUGCGUUGUAUUAGCUAGUUGGUGAGGUAACGGCUCACCAAGGCGACGAUACAUAGCCGACCUGAGAGGGUGAUCGGCCACACUGGGACUGAGACACGGCCCAGACUCCUACGGGAGGCAGCAGUAGGGAAUCUUCGGCAAUGGGGGAAACCCUGAUGCAGCGACGCCGCGUGAGUGAAGAAGUAUUUCGGUAUGUAAAGCUCUAUCAGCAGGGAAGAUAAUGACAGUACCUGACUAAGAAGCCCCGGCUAACUACGUGCCAGCAGCCGCGGUAAUACGUAGGGGGCAAGCGUUAUCCGGAUUUACUGGGUGUAAAGGGAGCGUAGACGGAGUGGCAAGUCUGAAGUGAAAACCCUGGGCUUAACCUGGGGACUGCUUUGGAAACUGUUAAUCUAGAGUGUUGGAGAGGUAAGUGGAAUUCCUGGUGUAGCGGUGAAAUGCGUAGAUAUCAGGAAGAACACCGGAGGCGAAGGCGGCUUACUGGACAAUAACUGACGUUGAGGCUCGAAAGCGUGGGGAUCAAACAGGAUUAGAUACCCUGGUAGUCCGCGCUGUAAAC